rnacentral:snoRNA from 1 species
UGGUGACAGAGCGAGACUCUGUCUCAAAAAAUAAAAUAAAAUAAACCCUCUUUUGUAACCCAGAACUCAUUGUUCAGUAUGAGUUUUGAUACAUAUACGAAGGGAUAUU